ACUUAGAUGUCACGAUUUUCUAAUUUUAUCGAUAAACUGCAAGAAAUUUAAGAGCCUGGCUGAAUAAGACCAUCAUAACCUUACUGAAUAGGGGGAAAUACAAAGACUUAAUUAGUUUAACCCAUGCAUAUAAUGGCCGUCAGCUGGGUGAUGGACAGGGGGACCAACGCGUACCAUUCAGGACCUAGUUCCCAAGUGGACGUGCCGUAACUGUCUGUACACCCGGAAGUGCGACUACACUCUCCACGUGAGGGCGGCUGGAAACAGGUCCUUCGGCAAGGUCAUGUCUCUGCCGAGGAAUGCUGGCGAAUGGUAGUCGGGCGCAGAGAAGACAACUCUUGAAGAUCACCCCAAUCCAAGACGGAACAGCCGGCGUCGAAGGAUGCGUGGCCGAGGGGGAGCUCGGUUCUUAGUGGGCGAACUCUGCGCACCUGUCGACACGCAGUUUCAAUCCAGACUUCCUGCGGCACCUCGGGCUCUGGCGUGGGCGACCUCCUUUCCCGUGCACUCGUGGGAAUCAAAUGAAUAGUUUUAUAGUUUCAGAGUCAGAUGCUGCUCCCAAAGCAUCACCAAUCCAGAAUCCUGAAGUGGAUUCGGGUCCAGGCUUUGUCAGGCUGAAAACCAAGCAGAAAAAAUUACUGAGAAAGGCUCUUCGUGAAGGCAUAACCAGGGCAAGGGCUUUAAGAAUAGUACAAGCUACUCCUGUUGUUAGAGGACUUUUACCAGCUCCUUGUGGAAUUAAAGAGAUAGUAAACCCGACCAAUAGGCCCAACUCUAGUUUAGAUAAAAGUGUAAAACUCGGUUUUGCCUCGGAGUCUGAUGGGACUCUCCUCACAACCGAUCAAAUGUCCAGGAUAAAGGAGGCCAUAAUUGAUGUCACCGUGGAGCACUCAGGUAGCGAAAUGCCCCAGUUCGAAGCUUGUUUGGCUCGAAGAGGUUGGCUCAUGGUUAUCUGUGCCAACUUCUCCACAGCCCAGUGGCUCAUAGGCAAUUUAUGUCACAUCCAGACCAAAGUAGCCCUUCAACUCAAGCUAAUGACAGAGGAGGAACUGCCGAGGAAAAAUGUGAUCCGUGGCUACUUUCCAGACAGCCUACCAACCACCAAUAAAAAGGUCCUGGAUAUUAUAGAGGCUCAAAAUCCGGUGUCCACCAGGGAAUGGAGGGUUAUUAAUAGGCUUAUUCAUGGAGAACUUUUGCUCCUUGUCAUGGCAGUUGACAAUGAAUCGCAGAAGAAACUGGUGGAGCUAGAUGGAAUAAUAUCCUUCCGAUUUGGGCGUUUAAAACUGAGUAUGAAAGGAUUGACAGAUCGUAACAAAUUGAUAAAAGCAAAAGAUAAAACACCAACCGAACGCCAAACCCCGGGGAAAGUUCCUUCAAUCCAAAGUGGUGCGCCUGUAGUUGAAGAACCAGUAAUGAGAAAUUACAGUCCAUGGAACUGCAAUAAUGGUCCAUGGAACAAUUGUAAUGGCCCAUGGAAUCCCUACGAUAAUCAAUGGAUCCGAUGGGAUCAUCCACCAAACUUCAGGUAUGGUCCACCUAAUCCCAGGGAGGGUCCUUCAAACUUUUUGGGACCUGCGUUUUGGACUGGAACAGAUAGAUGGCUGACCGGACGACCACCUUGGCAUGGAGAUAACUAAUGAAAAAGGGUCCAAUACAAAUCAUGAAUUUCAUUUCAAAAAAGUUCAGCAGAGAUCGGUAAAUUUCUAUUGAGAUCUCGAGAAAAAGAGCAUUCCCCGUUGUUUUAAUUCUACGACAUCGCCUCAGUUUAAUAAUGACUUAUGAAUGAUCAUUGCAACGCCGGUUCAGCUGUUUUGGGUUUUUCAUAGAGCUGCCGGGGUUCCCUUUUCGAUUGAACGAC